UACGUAGGGUGCGAGCGUUGUCCGGAAUUAUUGGGCGUAAAGAGCUCGUAGGCGGUUUGUCGCGUCUGCCGUGAAAGUCCGGGGCUCAACUCCGGAUCUGCGGUGGGUACGGGCAGACUAGAGUGAUGUAGGGGAGACUGGAAUUCCUGGUGUAGCGGUGGAAUGCGCAGAUAUCAGGAGGAACACCUAUGGCGAAGGCAGCUCGCUGGAACGUUACUGACGCUGAGGCGCGAAGGCGUGGGGAGCGAACGGG
rnacentral:rRNA from 1 species